AUGGCACACAGGGCUGAAAACAAGAAGAGCGUUAGGGCGGACGAGAAAAGGGCAGGGGCACGGGUUGUAGGCUUGGACACAGAUUUAAAAAGGGGGGAAACGUGUUUUCCACCAUCUGAGGUCUUUUUUCCUGCUGUACGAGGAGUUGGGAGCAUCCUGCCUCCCUGCUCCCAGCCAGGGUGGUGGUGUCCCAGCAUUUUGGGGUGGGAUUUUGCAGCACAGCACGGGGGAGGACCGUCUGCCAAGGGCAAAAGGCAGCGGCUACAGGUGACGGCACCCAUGGCGGCCAACCCUUCCCUCUGCUCGCCCGCGGCCAUGGAUGGUGAUGACACCGUCACUGCCGAGGUCUGCCAGGAGGCCGACGUUGGGGAUGGAGAGCUCCGGGAGGUGAUGGUGGCUGGCUACCCGGUGCUGCUGGUGAGGAACAAGAUGGAGUUCAGCGCCCUGGGCAGUAAGUGCCCCCACUACAACGCCCCACUCACCAAAGGUAACGCCGGCACCGGGCAGGGGGGAGAAGCCAUGGCAGGGGGUCAGUCCUCUCUGCUCAGUUCUGGGGGGCUUUUCUACUGCAGGAGUCUUGAGAGGGGAGAGGCUGCGCUGCCCUUGGCAUGGCUCCUGCUUUAAUAUCCGAACUGGAGACAUCGAGGAAUACCCUUCGCUGGACUGUCUUCCCUGCUUCAAGGUGACUUCUUGUCUCUUCCUCCUCCCAGCUUGGGCCACAUCCUCCAUUCCACUCACGUUCAUUCACUCUCACCAGCUCUGUGCCCCUGACACCAGCUGGAAGCACCCUGGUCUGGCCACAGCUCCCGGGUCCAGGUCGCGCAGAGCUACAGAUGGGAUGAUUUCUUGGGAUCAUCCAACUCCCUGUCCUAAAGCUCCUUUCAACCAAAGGUGAUGCCACACAUCCUGGUAUCCCCCUCACAGCCAGCACAGAUCCUUUGGAAAGAAAAAAGGAUUUACACCUCUUCCUGAGUGCUCUUGGGACGAGGAGAACAGCCCAU
rnacentral:lncRNA from 1 species